rnacentral:rRNA from 1 species
AGCAGCCGCGGUAAUUCCAGCUCCAAUAGCGUAUAUUAAAGUUGUUGCAGUUAAAAAAGCUCGUAGUUGAAUUUCGGGGUUAGUAGAUUGGUCAUGCCUUUGGUAUGUACUGGUCUUACUGAUUCCUCCUUCCUGAUGAACCGUAAUGCCAUUAAUUUGGUGUUGCGGGGAAACUGGACUGUUACUUUGAAAAAAUUAGAGUGUUUAAAGCAAGCUAACGCUUGAAUACAUUAGCAUGGAAUAAUGAAAUAGGACGUUCGAUCUUAUUUUGUUGGUUUCUAGGAUUGACGUAAUGAUUAAUAGGGAUAGUUGGGGGCGAUUAGUAUUCAAUUGUCAGAGGUGAAAUUCUUGGAUUUAUUGAAGACUAACUACUGCGAAAGCAUUUGCCAAGGAUGUUUUCAUUAAU